rnacentral:rRNA from 1 species
AAAUUGAAGAGUUUGAUCAUGGCUCAGAUUGAACGCUGGCGGCAGGCCUAACACAUGCAAGUCGAACGGUAACAGGAAGAAGCUUGCUUCUUUGCUGACGAGUGGCGGACGGGUGAGUAAUGUCUGGGAAACUGCCUGAUGGAGGGGGAUAACUACUGGAAACGGUAGCUAAUACCGCAUAACGUCGCAAGACCAAAGAGGGGGACCUUCGGGCCUCUUGCCAUCGGAUGUGCCCAGAUGGGAUUAGCUAGUAGGUGGGGUAACGGCUCACCUAGGCGACGAUCCCUAGCUGGUCUGAGAGGAUGACCAGCCACACUGGAACUGAGACACGGUCCAGACUCCUACGGGAGGCAGCAGUGGGGAAUAUUGCACAAUGGGCGCAAGCCUGAUGCAGCCAUGCCGCGUGUAUGAAGAAGGCCUUCGGGUUGUAAAGUACUUUCAGCGGGGAGGAAGGGAGUAAAGUUAAUACCUUUGCUCAUUGACGUUACCCGCAGAAGAAGCACCGGCUAACUCCGUGCCAGCAGCCGCGGUAAUACGGAGGGUGCAAGCGUUAAUCGGAAUUACUGGGCGUAAAGCGCACGCAGGCGGUUUGUUAAGUCAGAUGUGAAAUCCCCGGGCUCAACCUGGGAACUGCAUCUGAUACUGGCAAGCUUGAGUCUCGUAGAGGGGGGUAGAAUUCCAGGUGUAGCGGUGAAAUGCGUAGAGAUCUGGAGGAAUACCGGUGGCGAAGGCGGCCCCCUGGACGAAGACUGACGCUCAGGUGCGAAAGCGUGGGGAGCAAACAGGAUUAGAUACCCUGGUAGUCCACGCCGUAAACGAUGUCGACUUGGAGGUUGUGCCCUUGAGGCGUGGCUUCCGGAGCUAACGCGUUAAGUCGACCGCCUGGGGAGUACGGCCGCAAGGUUAAAACUCAAAUGAAUUGACGGGGGCCCGCACAAGCGGUGGAGCAUGUGGUUUAAUUCGAUGCAACGCGAAGAACCUUACCUGGUCUUGACAUCCACAGAACUUUCCAGAGAUGGAUUGGUGCCUUCGGGAACUGUGAGACAGGUGCUGCAUGGCUGUCGUCAGCUCGUGUUGUGAAAUGUUGGGUUAAGUCCCGCAACGAGCGCAACCCUUAUCCUUUGUUGCCAGCGGUCCGGCCGGGAACUCAAAGGAGACUGCCAGUGAUAAACUGGAGGAAGGUGGGGAUGACGUCAAGUCAUCAUGG